UCAUAUUAUAUCCAGCUGUAUAAAUGGAUACAAUGUAAAAUUCUAUGUUAAAAAGUUGUGUAAGUCGCUCUGGAUAAGAGCGUCUGCUAAAUGCCUGUAAUGUAAUGUAAUGUAAUGUAAUGUAAUUAUCAUAACUGUGGUCACUCUUGAUUCUGUUGACUCAUAAGGUGUUAUGCCAGCCUUGUUGCCUACAUUUGCCAUGCAGAUGUAAUAAGUAAUCGGUUUUACAUUCUAUCCGUGCAGCUGUUGUGAGCGUUCUCCUAAGUUUAGCAUUUCAGUUAAAAGGUAUGUUUUAAAGCAUAAAAGUAACCAUAACCACAUUCUUUAAAGGAGCAAAGCCUUAACUUGUUUUGUUGUUAUCAUCAUCUUCGUUUGCAAUAUUAUAUCGCACAGUGCUGGAAUAAUUUUAUCUUUCGAUGGAGGCUUUGACGUCAGUGCAUCUCGCGCGCUGCGCACUUUCCAGUCGUGAAAUGUGACUGACGGAAAAGAUCCAUUUCUGCAUUGUUUGUGACAAAGCGCCACGCGGUUAUUGCAUUCGCGCGUUCUUUUGGUACGUGCUGCUACGCUAAUGGCAUCUGUGAAACCGCCGGCUGUCAAGCUUUCCGUGUUCAGCGUAUGAAUAUGCAUUUACUAGAAACGCACAGUGAGAGGGCAGACAUGAAUGCCUUUAUAAUGUACACUAGUAACAGGACUAAGCUGUGGGGGGUGAGGGGGUGGUGGGGAGCUGGGGGACAAGAGUGCUCAUAGCUUUAAGGUGAAGUAAAAAGAGUUUCAUCACCAGCAGACAUUUUGUGUGCCAUGACCACAGGUCGGUAUCUAAAUCCAGACUCCAGCAAUAUUGUCAUUUACGCUGCUUGUUGUGAAUCAUUAACCGCUUAUGAACCCAGCAAAUUCCCCCCCCCCCCCCCAUUUUACUUGAGCAAAUCUGAACUUGGAAGGCUGUAUCCUUCACUGGAAGUGAAUGAGAAGACGACACUGUUGGUGAUAAUGUGCUCUAAGUGGCAUUCAGUACACCUGUCUUGACCUGGUUGGUCGAAUGCAAGUCUCAAAAGCAGAUGAAAGCGUGUCAGACGAUGUUUGUCUUGUCCCUGAAAAAUACCAAUGUGAACGCGAUAUCCAGGACGCAGCUCGGGAUGAUGUCAUUUCCUGGAUGUAACUUUGCUUGUAAAUUAUGUUGCACUUUAAGCAAGAAAUGAAAAGGAUAUCCAUUGCCCAUUCUGAUUUUUUUUUUUUUACUAUUUUAUGUUAUCACUUUGACUGGAGGUAGGGCAAAUGGUGUCCAAAUAUAUUCAAACCAACAAUAAUAGAGAAUACUUCUACCUUUUUUUAAAAAUAACUGCUUGAAUAAAUACACAGUUUAUCUGCUAUUAUGUUACUUGUAUUAAGUUUUCAAGAGAUUUAUAUUCAAAUACAAAUUCAAAUAAAUGAAAACCUAUGAAUGAA